UCUUUGUAGGCUAGUUGGUUAGAGUGCUGCACAAGAAUCGCAGCGUCGCAAGUUCGAUUCUUGCCUAUAUAG